rnacentral:sRNA from 1 species
GACCGCGAGCUCGGAGUCCGGACUUGUCGCGCAACCUGUCUCCUUCGGUUCCACCCCAACCUAGCUGGACUCUCGGUCCGGUCCCCGCCCUCUGGAGACUCAGCCAUUAAAGUUGAGGUGGGGGGAUGAGGAUGUGGGCGGUGUCCAGAUCUUGAGCCAGAUGAUUGUGCAUCCAUUUACAUCUUUAAUAUAGAUCCACCUCCAUCUACUUUAAACACACCACUUUGCUUACCACAUCAUGGAUUACCGUCUCACUCUUCUGUUCUGUCACCAUCGUUUCAGCUCCAAAGUCACAAAAACUAUGAAGGAACUUGUGAGAUUCCUGAAUCUAAAUAUAGCCCAUUAGGUGGUCCCAAACCCUUUGAGUGCCCAAGUAUUCAAAUUACAUCUAUCUCUCCUAACUGUCAUCAAGAAAUAGAUGCACAUGAAGAUGACCUACAGAUAAAUGACCCAGAACGGGAAUUUUUGGAAAGGCCUUCUAGAGAUCAUCUCUAUCUUCCUCUUGAGCCAUCCUACCGGGAGUCUUCUCUUAGUCCUAGUCCUGCCAGCAGCAUCUCUUCUAGGAGCUGGUUCUCUGAUGCAUCUUCUUGUGAAUCACUUUCACAUAUUUAUGAUGAUGUGGACUCAGAGUUGAAUGAAGCUGCAGCCCGAUUUACCCUUGGAUCCCCUCUGACUUCUCCUGGUGGCUCUCCAGGGGGCUGCCCUGGAGAAGAAACUUGGCAUCAACAGUAUGGACUUGGACACUCAUUAUCACCCAGGCAAUCUCCUUGCCACUCUCCUAGAUCCAGUGUCACUGAUGAGAAUUGGCUGAGCCCCAGGCCAGCCUCAGGACCCUCAUCAAGGCCCACAUCCCCCUGUGGGAAACGGAGGCACUCCAGUGCUGAAGUUUGUUAUGCUGGGUCCCUUUCACCCCAUCACUCACCUGUUCCUUCUCCUGGUCACUCCCCCAGGGGAAGUGUGACAGAAGAUACCUGGCUCAAUGCUUCUGUCCAUGGUGGGUCAGGCCUUGGCCCUGCAGUUUUUCCAUUUCAGUACUGUGUAGAGACUGACAUCCCUCUCAAAACAAGGAAAACUUCUGAAGAUCAAGCUGCCAUACUACCAGGAAAAUUAGAGCUGUGUUCAGAUGACCAAGGGAGUUUAUCACCAUCCCGGGAGACUUCAAUAGAUGAUGGCCUUGGAUCUCAGUAUCCUUUAAAGAAAGAUUCAUGUGGUGAUCAGUUUCUUUCAGUUCCUUCACCCUUUACCUGGAGCAAACCAAAGCCUGGCCACACCCCUAUAUUUCGCACAUCUUCAUUACCUCCGCUAGACUGGCCUUUACCAGCUCAUUUUGGACAAUGUGAACUGAAAAUAGAAGUGCAGCCUAAAGCUCAUCAUCGAGCCCAUUAUGAAACUGAAGGUAGCCGAGGGGCAGUAAAAGCAUCUACUGGGGGACAUCCUGUUGUGAAGCUCCUGGGCUAUAACGAAAAGCCGAUAAAUCUACAAAUGUUUAUUGGGACAGCAGAUGAUCGAUAUUUACGACCUCAUGCAUUUUACCAGGUGCAUCGAAUCACUGGGAAGACAGUCGCUACUGCAAGCCAAGAGAUAAUAAUUGCCAGUACAAAAGUUCUGGAAAUUCCACUUCUUCCUGAAAACAAUAUGUCAGCCAGUAUUGAUUGUGCAGGUAUUUUGAAACUCCGCAAUUCAGAUAUAGAACUUCGAAAAGGAGAAACUGAUAUUGGCAGAAAGAAUACUAGAGUACGACUUGUGUUUCGUGUACACAUCCCACAGCCCAGUGGAAAAGUCCUUUCUCUGCAGAUAGCCUCUAUACCCGUUGAGUGCUCCCAGCGGUCUGCUCAAGAACUUCCUCAUAUUGAGAAGUACAGUAUCAACAGUUGUUCUGUAAAUGGAGGUCAUGAAAUGAUUGUGACUGGAUCUAAUUUUCUUCCAGAAUCCAAAAUCAUUUUUCUUGAAAAAGGACAAGAUGGACGACCUCAGUGGGAGGUAGAAGGGAAGAUAAUCAGGGAAAAAUGUCAAGGGGCUCACAUUGUCCUUGAAGUUCCUCCAUAUCAUAACCCAGCAGUUACAGCUGCAGUGCAGGUGCACUUUUAUCUUUGCAAUGGCAAGAGGAAAAAAAGCCAGUCUCAACGUUUUACUUAUACACCAGUUUUGAUGAAGCAAGAACACGGAGAAGAGAUUGAUUUGUCUUCAGUUCCAUCUUUGCCUGUGCCUCAUCCUGCUCAGACCCAGAGGCCUUCCUCUGAUUCAGGGUGUUCACAUGACAGUGUACUAUCAGGACAGAGAAGUUUGGUUUGUUCCAUCCCACAAACAUAUGCAUCCAUGGUGACCUCAUCCCAUCUGCCACAGUUGCAGUGUGGAGAUGAGAGUGUUAGUAAAGAACGGCAUAUGAUUCCUUCUCCAGUUGUACACCAUCCUUUUCAAGUCACACCAACACCUCCUUUGGGGUCUUCCUAUCAGCCUAUGCAAACUAACGUUGUGUACAAUGGACCAACUUGUCUUCCUAUUAAUGCUGCCUCUAGUCAAGAAUUUGAUUCAGUUUUGUUUCAGCAGGAUGCAACUCUUCCUAGUUUAGUGAAUCUUGGCUGUCAACCAUUGUCAUCCAUACCAUUUCAUUCUUCAAAUUCAGGCUCAACAGGACAUCUCUUAGCCCAUACACCUCAUUCUGUACAUACCCUGCCUCAUCUGCAAUCAAUGGGAUAUCAUUGUUCAAAUACAGGACAAAGAUCUCUUUCUUCUCCAGUGGCUGACCAGAUUACAGGUCAGCCUUCUUCUCAGUUACAACCUAUUACAUAUGGUCCUUCACAUUCAGGGUCUGCUACAACAGCUUCUCCAGCAGCUUCUCAUCCCUUGGCUAGUUCACCGCUUUCUGGGCCACCAUCUCCUCAGCUUCAGCCUAUGCCUUACCAAUCUCCUAGCUCAGGAACUGCCUCAUCACCGUCUCCAGCCACCAGAAUGCAUUCUGGACAGCACUCAACUCAAGCACAAAGUACAGGCCAGGGGGGUCUUUCUGCACCGUCAUCCUUAAUAUGUCACAGUUUGUGUGAUCCAGCUUCAUUUCCACCUGAUGGGGCAACUGUGAGCAUUAAACCUGAACCAGAAGAUCGGGAGCCUAACUUUGCAACCAUUGGUCUGCAGGACAUCACUUUAGAUGAUGGUAAGUUCAUCUGUGAUAUGUUCUUGAAGUAGUGAAGAUUCAGGAACUUUAUUCUCCCAAGUGUCAUGAAAAAGUUUCUAUGGAUUGCUUAUUGGCAUAUGGUUGGGCUUUUAAAUAAGUUGUUAUUAGAAAUAUAUGUUAAUAUAUAACUUUGCCAGGCACCACGGCUCACGCCUGUAUCCCAGCACUUUGGAAGGCUGAGGCUGGUGGAUCACAAGGUCAGGAGUUCGAGACCAGCCUGGCCAACAUGGUGGAACGCUGUCUCUACUAAAAAUACAAAAAAUUAGCCGGGCGUGGUGGUGUGUGCCUAUAAUCCCAGCUACUCAGGAGGCUGAGACAGGAGAAUCGCUUGAACCCGGGAGGUGGCAGUUGCAGGGAGCCAAGAUCACACCAUUGCACUGCAGCCUGGGCGACAGAGCAAGACUCCAUUUCG